ensembl:ncRNA mir-2279 mir-2279 stem loop
CGGGAGAGGAUUAUGAAAGACAAUUUGAAAUUAAAUAUCUGUGUGUGAAAUUAUUUAAAAGAUUAAUUUCACGCGAAGAUAUUUAUUUUUACAUUUGUCCCUAUAAUAACCGG